CAGAAGCAGUGUUUGAUUUUGAAGUAAAAGUUGAUUCAUACUGUUGAGAGAGUCGAGUUUGGAAGCCAUGUUGAUGGUAGUUUCAAAAAGUUCAUUAUCAAGAGGUUUAAAGAUAAUGAGGGGUUGUGGUGGCAGAUUUAGGUGAGCAAUAAUAUUGCUAGUAGGAACAUGCUGAGAUUGAUGAGUGGUCAGAGGAAGAUCUAAAUAAUUGAAUAUUUUGGUGAGAAGGAGACCGAAACCAAGAUAAUUGUUCUGAAAAUAGAAUUCAAAUGAAGACAUCAGAAA
rnacentral:lncRNA from 1 species